rnacentral:rRNA from 1 species
CCUACGGGAGGCUGCAGUAGGGAAUCUUCCACAAUGGACGAAAGUCUGAUGGAGCAACGCCGCGUGUGUGAUGAAGGGUUUCGGCUCGUAAAACACUGUUGUAAGAGAAGAAUGACAUUGAGAGUAACUGUUCAGUGUGUGACGGUAUCUUACCAGAAAGGAACGGCUAAAUACGUGCCAGCAGCCGCGGUAAUACGUAUGUUCCAAGCGUUAUCCGGAUUUAUUGGGCGUAAAGCGGGCGCAGACGGUUGUUAAAGUGCGAAUGAAAAGCCAACAGUUAAACUGUGGAAGUGCUUUGAAAACGGAAUACCUUGAGUGCAGUGAAGGAGCUUGGAACUCAAUGUGUAGCGGUAAAAGGCGUAGAUGUAGGGAGAACACCAGUGGCGAAGGCGGCUCUCUGGACUGUAACUGACGUUGAGGCUCGAAAGUGUGGGUAGCAAACAGGAUUAGAUACCCCGGUAGUC